GACGAACGCUGGCGGCGUGCUUAACACAUGCAAGUCGAACGGAAAGGCCCUGCUUUUGUGGGGUGCUCGAGUGGCGAACGGGUGAGUAACACGUGAGUAACCUGCCCUUGACUUUAGGAUAACUUCAGGAAACUGGGGCUAAUACCGGAUAGGAGCUCCUGCUGCAUGGUGGGGGUUGGAAAGUUUCGGCGGUUGGGGAUGGACUCGCGGCUUAUCAGCUUGUUGGUGGGGUAGUGGCUUACCAAGGCUUUGACGGGUAGCCGGCCUGAGAGGGUGACCGGCCACAUUGGGACUGAGAUACGGCCCAGACUCUUACGGGAGGCAGCAGUGGGGAAUAUUGCACAAGGGGCGGAAGCCUGAUGCGGCAACGCCGCGGGGGGGAUGACGGCCUUCGGGUUGAAACCGGCUUUCGCCUGUGACGAGGCGUGGGUGACGGUAAUGGGUAAGAAGCACCGGCUAACUACGUG
rnacentral:rRNA from 1 species